CCUACGGGAGGCAGCAGUGGGGAAUCUUGCACAAUGGAGGAAACUCUGAUGCAGCGAUGCCGCGUGAGUGAAGAAGGCCUUUGGGUUGUAAAGCUCUUUUGUAGGGGAAGAUAAUGACUGUACCCUAAGAAUAAGGUCCGGCUAACUUCGUGCCAGCAGCCGCGGUAAUACGAAGGGACCUAGCGUAGUUCGGAAUUACUGGGCGUAAAGCGCGCGUAGGCCGUUGAGUUAGUUAAUUGUGAAAUCCCAAAGCUUAACUUGGAACUGCAAUUAAAACUGCUCGACUAGAGUUUGAUAGAGGAAAGCGGAAUACAUAGUGUAGAGGUGAAAUUCGUAGAUAUUAUGUAGAACACCAGUUGCGAAGGCGGCUUUCUGGAUCAAUACUGACGCUGAGGCGCGAAAGUAUGGGUAGCAAAGAGGAUUAGAUACCCUCGUAGUCCAUACCAUAAACGAUGAUUGCUAGAUGUUGGAAAUUUAUUUCAGUAUCGNNCUACNCAUANNANCNCUGGAGACGACGCGAGUAACGUACGAAGAAGUAAGUAGNGUUGAGAGUUGCGAGACGACGACGAGGGAGGAGG
rnacentral:rRNA from 1 species